rnacentral:rRNA from 1 species
GACGAACCCUGGCGGCGUGCUUAACACAUGCAAGUCGAACGAAGAGCGACGGAAGCUUGCUUCUAUCAAUCUUAGUGGCGAACGGGUGAGUAACGCGUAAUCAACCUGCCCUUCAGAGGGGGACAACAGUUGGAAACGACUGCUAAUACCGCAUACGAUCUAAUCUCGGCAUCGAGGAUGGAUGAAAGGUGGCCUCUACAUGUAAGCUAUCACUGAAGGAGGGGAUUGCGUCUGAUUAGCUAGUUGGAGGGGUAACGGCCCACCAAGGCGAUGAUCAGUAGCCGGUCUGAGAGGAUGAACGGCCACAUUGGGACUGAGACACGGCCCAGACUCCUACGGGAGGCAGCAGUGGGGAAUCUUCCGCAAUGGACGAAAGUCUGACGGAGCAACGCCGCGUGAGUGAUGACGGCCUUCGGGUUGUAAAGCUCUGUUAAUCGGGACGAAAGGCCUUCUUGCGAAUAGUGAGAAGGAUAGAC